GAUUCCUUCCUCCAUGUCAUGUACAGAAGGUAAAGAAGCUUCUGUAAAAGGGUGGAAUCCUGGAAAGCCUGCCUUUCCAGCCAGCGGUGAUGAGAUCAAAAUGACAUGAACACAUAAGAAUCCACCUCCCUGUGUACCAUACCUCCAAGGCCCUGUGGCAUGGCUCAUGUUGAAGAGUGGCAUUCAAGACUGCCUUGUUCAUUAACCAGCACAUCUUGAAAGUACCUGGAUUGCUGCUUUAUUCAGGCUUAUUUUAGACAACCCAAAUGGUGCUGAGCUUUAAGACAAGACACAAAUAAGCUGUCCAACAGUCCCAGGAGCCAAAAGGGGUUGUGAAGUCUGGUCAGCCAGCAACUGCACUACUGUGAGCCUUAGUUAACCCAACGAUUUGGUUAUAAAAACUGAAGACAGAUAAAGGGAAAAGAGAAAGGAAAUAAAGUAAGAAUUACAAAGAGUCAUAAUGAGUCAAGUCAAAGGAUUGUUCAGGAUCCUGUCUCUGAGAAGAUCCAGUUGCAGCUGUUUAGAGAAAGUGCACACAGGGAGACCAGGAGCAAAAAUACUCACUCUCACAGGGACUAAAAAUCCUCUGCCCUCCUUCUUUAACAUAUCCUUGCAGAUUUCCUGCAAUCUUUACUGAAAGAUUUCCUGAGUCAGACGUUGGAAGCACAUCCUUCG